rnacentral:rRNA from 1 species
CAGCUCCAAUAGCGUAUAUUAAAGUUGUUGCAGUUAAAAAGCUCGUAGUUGGAUCUAUUGGGGUCACGGCGGGGGCAAGCCUGCCCGCUUUGACCUCACUGUUCGGUCUCAUCUUGGUGCCCUUGACUGGGUGUCUCCAGUGGCCGGAACGUUUACUUUGAAAAAAUUAGAGUGUUCAAAGCAGGCAUCGCGCCUGAAUAAUGUUGCAUGGAAUAAUGGAAUAGGACCUCGGUUCUAUUUUGUUGGUUUUCGGAAGUCGAGGUAAUGAUUAAGAGGGACAGACGGGGGCAUUCGUAUUACGGUGUUAGAGGUGAAAUUCUUGGAUCGCCGUAAGACGAACUACUGCGAAAGCAUUUGCCAAGAAUGUUUUCAUUAAUCAAGAACGAAAGUCAGAGGUUCGAAGACGAUCAGAUACCGUCGUAGUUCUGACCAUAAACGAUGCCAACUAGCGAUCCGCCGACGUUGUCUCAAUGACUCGGUGGGCAGCUUCCGGGAAACCAAAGUCUAUGGGUUCCGGGGGAAGUAUGGUUGCAAAGCUGAAACUUAAAGGAAUUGACGGAAGGGCAACACCAGGAGUGGAGCCUGCGGCUUAAUUUGACUCAACACGGGAACACUCUCCCGGCCCGGACACCAUUAGGAUUGACAGAUUAGCUACGCGAGAUUGAGCAAUAACAGAACAGGUCUGUGAUGCCCUUAGAUGUUCGGGGCCGCACGCGCGCUACACUGAAGGAAUCAACGUGUGUCUUCCCAUGUCCGGAAGGAUCGGACAACCCGUUGAACCUCCUUCGUGCUAGGGAUUGGGGCUUGUAAUUCUUCCCCAUGAACGAGGAAUUCCCAGUAAGCGCGAGUCAUAAGCUCGCGUUGAUUACGUCCCUGCCCUUU